rnacentral:lncRNA from 1 species
GGAUGAGCGCGGGGUCCUAGGCGCCCGGCCCUGUUGUCUCCGCGUGUCGCGCCGCUCGGAGCUCGGGUCCCCGGAGCGCGCUGUGCCUGUGGGCCUCCGCGCGUCGACGCCGGUCGUGGUUCCCUGAGCCUUAACUGCCCCGCAGGCGGCCAGGCCGCUGGCCAGCCUCUCUGCGACCUGGACACGCCUGGCCCGCUUGUUUCCCUACCUUAAAGGUCACAUCCCGCCACUGCCCUGGUCCAGUGUCCGAAAACCAUUGUUUCAUAUAUUUGUCUGGUUUUUUAGUUGGUGGAGGUAAGAACUUCAAGCUGGUGCCUCACGCUUCACAGCGGCCAGACGCAGAAAGCAGAAGUUUGUUGAGACGGUGACCCAGUUGUGCUGUUUAAACUUAUUUUUAUUGAACUCUUCAGCUGAAAGUACACGGAAGUCAUGACGAAGGCAAACAGGCCUUUUACCCCCCAAUUCUGUGAAAGCGCAGUUUAAAGAAGUCGUCAACUAAGUUGACUGGUAUUGAUCAUUGAUUAUAAAGACCUAAAAGUUGUUAUUAAAGACCUAAAGUGUUUGAUGCAACUUUGGAAAAAAUAUUAUACUGAUGAAACAAGAUCAUUUGCAGCUUCACUGAAGGUAAAUUUUUUCCCUAGUGGAAUUAAAUUUUCUAAAAUGGCCCCUCCUGUUUGGAAGUUGGAAGAAGCAGACUAAGAAGCAGCUAAAAUUUUUGGAUAAGCCAGAUUAAAUUCAUCAUGAAGUUAAUUUUAAGUUGCGACCUUUUCGCAGAAGGUGUCAAACUUUUCCUGUGGUUUCUGUACCAGUUGGUGAUGGGUCUGGAGGUCAGGUUCUCGUCCUGAGAGCCCUUUGCUCUGUGGCAGUACAGCGCAGAGCUCAGGAUGGAAGAGCUUUGGGUUCAGAUAGGUCCGUCUUCCUUGGGGUUCUUAUGCAUAAAGUGGACGUUCUUACUUCCACCUGUCAGCAUCCACGAGCCCUUCCGAUGUUAAUCGUCCCGGGAUGGAAGGGGUGACUAGCCUUGCUGAUCAGAAGAUCUCAAUGCCCUGCCACGUGGAACGUGCAGUGUGAUCCACAGGCCGAAUCACAUGGACUCAGUACCUUCGCGGAAGCUACUGGAAAAUUCCUUUAAUUCUCCCUGCCGAACGUAGGAACAAGAAAAGACGUGAAACUGCAGCUGUGCUGGCUGUCUUGUCAUCACAAGAAACAGGAUUUUCCUUGGCUCUUCACCUGAGAAUCUGGGGAUACAACACGUGACAGCAUGGGGCUCCCCUAAGACUGUGGUCCCAGGCAUUUCUCCUCUCCAGCUCACCCACCUGUCACCCAGUGUGGACAUCGCCACCUCUGCGUCCUUGCCAUUUCCGGCUGCAGUGCUUCUCCCCAGGUGAGUCCAUCUUGCUCUGAGUCUCUUAUUCAUCUGUCUCCAAUUUUCUGGGCAGUGGUUUGCCCUGUGACCUCAAUUUUCCGAUGGAUCCAGGAAAGGUCAUUGAUUUUCCAUUCGUUUGGUUUUUUUCCUAUUGUAAGGACAGGAGGAGCAACUCUGAGCUCUGAGCAUUGGAAUAAUAACAGAUACUAACUCAGUGGUAAAGAAUUGCUUUAAAAUUCAUUGUCUGUUUUUUAUAUAUACAUUUAAAUAUAUUCGUAUUAAAAUAUCUUCUAACCAUUUAAAACCAGGAAGUUUGUUUAGGAUAUUCCAAGUAUUGCCGUUUUUAUUUUUAAAAAUUAAUUUAGUUUAUUUUUUGUCUUUCUAGGGCCGCACAUACAGCAUAUGGAGGUUCCCAGGCUAAGGGUCCAAUCAGAGCUGUAGCUGCCGGCCUACACCAGAGCAGGAUCCGAGCCACAUCUUCGACCUACACCACAGCUCAUGGCAACACCAGAUCCUUAACCCACUGAGCGAGGCCGGGGAUUGAACCUGAGUCCUCAUAGAUGCUAGUCGGGUUCAUUCACCGCUGAGCCACGAAGGGAACUCCAAGCNUAAAACCAGGAAGUUUGUUUAGGAUAUUCCAAGUAUUGCCAUUUUUAUUUUUAAAAAUUUAUUUUAUUUUUUGUCUUUUUAGGGCCACACAUACAGCAUAUGGAGGUUCCCAGGCUAAGGGUCCAAUCAGAGCUGUAGCUGCCGGCCUACACCAGAGCAGGAUCUGAGCCACAUCUGCGACCUACACCACAGCUCAUGGCAACACCAGAUCCUUAACCCACUGAGCGAGGCCGGGGAUUGAACCUGAGUCCUUAUAGAUGCUAGUCGGGUUCGUUCACCUCUGAGCCACGAAGGGAACUCCAAGCCAUUUUUAAAUUAAUUUUUUUCUGGCAAAAAGGGAUGAAUGUUAUUUUUCUACAGAAUACUACCAAAUCAUUCCAGUUCUGGGAGGAUCACCUAACCUCAUUCUGCACAAAGAGUCUUUCUGUGCAAAGGUGCAUAUUGUAAUAACACGUGUGCAGCGCCGUUCUAUUGACGUUAUUGUCCAAGUCAUCGGUCACUUAACCUUAACACUAAAUCUGCCUGGUAAAUCAUCUUUUGUCUUGUCUUUUCCACCCAGCGAGGUCUCUAAGCUCCUGGGGACAGGACACGGUCUCCUGUUUCUCUGGGUGCUCCCCCUGUCACCCACGAGACUCGGCAUCCUUGUGUUUUUAGCGUGCUGGGCGCUGGGCAAUGACAUGGUGAAGCGGAAGUGGUCCUACCCCAUGGGGCUAGGUCACCGUCUGGGAGGCGAUGUUCCUGGGAAAGUGGUACAGAUGCUUUUGGUGGAGUUGCGAUUAGCCCCGUGAAGGAGGGCGCUGUGUGCAAUGCCACGUGGUCGCGAGCGAUUUACACACAGCAGGUGCGCGAUCUCCUGGUGUGUCCGAGACGUUGUUUGCUUGUGGAGGAGCCCGACUCAAGCUUGUCCCCGACGCUGGUGACGCUGUGUUCAUCUCCUCGGCUGUGAGUGUCGCCGUAAGCGUUCCAGACCCUGAAAUCACCGAUGCGCCACUUGGGAAUGUGACCUUGGCUUGGUAAAUGCCCUCAGAAGUACGCCGCUGGCUCCCUGUGGUUUCUGGAAGGGUUUUAGGGCCGUGUGGUUGGAUUCCAUUGACAUUGCCAAAAAGAAAAAAA